ACCCAAAGUUUUUUGUCAGGACGUUUUUCUUAUUUUACCUACAAAAUAUGUCUGUUACAACUUUGGAAGAAUAACAGUUUUCCGCUUCUAGAAUUCUCGUUUUGAGUUUUUUGGAUAUUGAAAUUAUCGUUUUGAUAAAUUCAUCUAGGAUUACUGAGGAUCUUAUGAGUUGAGCUCGGAAUUCACUUUUAUGUGGAAUUUUUUCCUUGACGAUGUUCGUAGUAAAGAACCUCACAUCA
rnacentral:snoRNA from 1 species